GCCAGACUCCUACGGGAGGCAGCAGUGGGGAAUAUUGCACAAUGGGGGAAACCCUGAUGCAGCGACGCCGCGUGAGCGAAGAAGUAUUUCGGUAUGUAAAGCUCUAUCAGCAGGGAAGAAAUUGACGGUACCUGAGUAAGAAGCUCCGGCUAAAUACGUGCCAGCAGCCGCGGUAAUACGUAUGGAGCAAGCGUUAUCCGGAUUUACUGGGUGUAAAGGGAGCGUAGGCGGCCUGCCAAGUCUGAUGUGAAAUACCGGGGCUCAACCCCGGGGCUGCAUUGGAAACUGGCAGGCUGGAGUGUCGGAGAGGCAGGCGGAAUUCCUGGUGUGGCGGUGAAAUGCGUAGAGAUCAGGAGGAGCACCGGUGGCGAAGGCGGCCUGCUGGACUGCAACUGACGUUGAGGCCCGAAAGCGUGGGGAGCAAACAGGAUUAGAGACCCGAGUAGA
rnacentral:rRNA from 1 species